CUGGACGUUUUUUUCACAAGCGUGUCGCAAAUCUUGUCGGAAGGGCGUCAAGCAACAUUUUUUUUGCAGUUCUUGCGCUUAGUCAGUUUACUUACUACAAGUAAUGGGUACUAUGUACGCCGGCCAGUUUCUCUUUUCCGAGAGA
rnacentral:sRNA from 2 species